rnacentral:lncRNA from 1 species
GCACAGGCGCUUCAUUCUCUUCAACUCGUCUUCCAUAGACUGAGAGUCACGAAGACGAGACAGGGAAGAGAUGCGGCCCUGGAACAAAUGGUUGAGCUGCAAAAAGAAAAGAAUGGAUAAGGACACGCUCAUAAAAAUAACUAAGAAAUAAAGAACACUCACGUUGCUCAAGUUCUGUCCAAUCUCUUCGACAAUCCGGUCCAUCGGAUACCCAAAGAUAGCCCGCAGUGUGGUUCGGGUGGCAUCCGUGUCAGGGGUCAGGGGAAAUUUGGACCCAUAGUUCCGGGGAUGCGAACCUUGAUACCCCGGCAGUUGCGUCUCCCGGGUGGAAGAAUAGUUGAAGCGGCCCCGGGAGGACUCUCCAGGAUAAUAAGCCUUCUUACGAAGAGGACUUCGUCGCCUGGGGGAGGGUCUCCUCUUCCUCGGAGGAGAUGAGUCGGUCCUAGGGGGAGGAGUUCGUUCUUUUCUUCUUCUCCUCUCAGAG